AGUAUGGCAGAGGCAAUUUGGCAGUGUAGUCAUUACAAAGGGGACGAGGUAGGGGUGAAAAAAGGUGAGCUAGUUGGGCGAGCAGACCAAUCUCGCAGAUAGAGAAGUCAUAGUACUGCCUGCCAGAGAGAGUGAGUAUAUUUUGAGAGUAUUUUUGUAUAGCCCUCAUCGGUUGAGGAUAUUGGGAGAACAGUUAAAUAUGUGUAUUUUGGGAAACCUCUUAACACUCUGGUAUUGUAUAUAAUUAUAUAUGAAUAUGUUUAUUUGAUUUCC